ACGGGAGGCAGCAGUGAGGAAUAUUGGUCAAUGGACGCAAGUCUGAACCAGCCAUGCCGCGUGCAGGAUGACGGCUCUAUGAGUUGUAAACUGCUUUUGUACGAGGGUAAACGCAGAUACGUGUAUCUGUCUGAAAGUAUCGUACGAAUAAGGAUCGGCUAACUCCGUGCCAGCAGCCGCGGUAAUACGGAGGAUUCAAGCGUUAUCCGGAUUUAUUGGGUUUAAAGGGUGCGUAGGCGGUUUGAUAAGUUAGAGGUGAAAUUUCGGGGCUCAACCCUGAACGUGCCUCUAAUACUGUUGAGCUAGAGAGUAGUUGCGGUAGGCGGAAUGUAUGGUGUAGCGGUGAAAUGCUUAGAGAUCAUACAGAACACCGAUUGCGAAGGCAGCUUACCAAACUAUAUCUGACGUUGAGGCACGAAAGCGUGGGGAGCAAACAGGAUUAGAUACCCUGGUAGUCCACGCAGUAAACGAUGAUAACUCGUUGUCGGCGACACACAGUCGGUGCAC
rnacentral:rRNA from 1 species